UACAGAGGGUGCAAGCGUUGUUCGGAAUUAUUGGGCGUAAAGCGCGUGUAGGCGGCUUAUCAAGUCAGAUGUGAAAGCCCUCGGCUCAACCGAGGAAGUGCGUCUGAAACUGGUGAGCUUGAGUGCCGGAGAGGGUAGCGGAAUUCCGCAAGUAGAGGUGAAAUUCGUAGAGAUGCGGAGGAACACCGGUGGCGAAGGCGGCUACCUGGACGGCGACUGACGCUGAGACGCGAAAGCGUGGGAAGCAAACAGG
rnacentral:rRNA from 1 species